rnacentral:rRNA from 1 species
UCUUGACGUUAGCAACAGAAGAAGCACCGGCUAACUCCGUGCCAGCAGCCGCGGUAAUACGGAGGGUGCGAGCGUUAAUCGGAAUUACUGGGCGUAAAGCGCAUGCAGGUGGUUCAUUAAGUCAGAUGUGAAAGCCCGGGGCUCAACCUCGGAACUGCAUUUGAAACUGGUGAACUAGAGUGCUGUAGAGGGGGGUAGAAUUUCAGGUGUAGCGGUGAAAUGCGUAGAGAUCUGAAGGAAUACCAGUGGCGAAGGCGGCCUCCUGGACAGACACUGACACUCAGAUGCGAAAGCGUGGGGAGCAAACAGGAUUAGAUACCCUGGUAGUCCACGCCGUAAACGAUGUCUACUUGGAGGUUGUGGCCUUGAGCCGUGGCUUUCGGAGCUAACGCGUUAAGUAGACCGCCUGGGGAGUACGGUCGCAAGAUUAAAACUCAAAUGAAUUGACGGGGGCCCGCACAAGCGGUGGAGCAUGUGGUUUAAUUCGAUGCAACGCGAAGAACCUUACCUACUCUUGACAUCCAGAGAAGCCAG